UAAUUUAGGAAACCAUGAGGAAAAUGAACCUAUGAACCCUUCACUCCAUUAAGAUCUGGAUCUGUUAAAGCUGCCUGUAUGCCUUUCCUUGAUUAUAAUCCUUCCCUACUCUCCGUGAGUAACCACAAUCUUUUUUCUUUUUUUUCAGUAAGCUCUACGCUCAACGUGGGGCUUGAACUCACCAUCCCAGAUCAAGAGUCGCAUGCUCUACCAAAUGAGCCAGCCAGGUGGAUAACUGAAGCACUGUGACCGUAACCCUAUUUGCAAACUAAGAAGCUGGACUGCCAUGGUCUAUGGAUACCGGCAGAACACAUGAGACUCCUGGUCAGAGACAAAGGACUUCAUCAUCCACAGCCCCGGCAAGCAGCGUGUCGGCAUUGGUUACCUUUGUCCCAUUCCCAGAGGGCUAUGAGAAGAGGGCUGGAUAAUACCUGCAUUGCAGGAGAGGAACCCUGAGCCUUAGAGAACCUGAAUCUUUUAUAAUUGGGCAAUAAAUUAUAAAUUUAUUUAUAGUCAGGCAAACCUGACUUUGCCUUACAGGGAGAUACUAUCUUUAUUAAGGAACAGUAAACAAAUCUACCUUUUGUUCUGGAGGGAGGCCUUAUCUCUGUCUUCCCAGGCUGUUUGCUAUACUAAGAAUCUUGAAAAGACAGCCUGGAAUAAAGGCAGUUAGUGUCUCUGCUCACAAGAUGUGCAGAAACAUGAGUCUCAAGUAGAAUCAUCUCCCAACAACAACCAAAUGUUCUAGCACCAUUUACUCCCUAAUAUAUACUUUUCCAACCAAGUUAUUGUGCUAUCUCUUCUGAUAUUAAUUUUCAAAAAAAUACAUUCAUAUACUUCUAGGCUUUGUAUUUUGCUUCAUUGGUGUGUCUAUCUUAAUUAUUAUGGUUUUAUAAUAAAUAAAUAUCUGAUUGA